GCGCCUACGGGAGGCAGCAGUGAGGAAUAUUGGUCAAUGGGCGAGAGCCUGAACCAGCCAAGUCGCGUGAGGGAAGACGGUCCUAUGGAUUGUAAACCUCUUUUGCCGGGGAGCAAAAAGCGGUACGUGUACCGCAUCGAGAGUACCCGGAGAAAAAGCAUCGGCUAACUCCGUGCCAGCAGCCGCGGUAAUACGGAGGAUGCGAGCGUUAUCCGGAUUUAUUGGGUUUAAAGGGUGCGCAGGCGGCGAGUUAAGUCAGCGGUAAAAUUUAGGGGUUUAAACCCGACAAGCCGUUGAAACUGGUU
rnacentral:rRNA from 1 species